rnacentral:rRNA from 1 species
UACGUAGGGAGCGAGCGUUGUCCGGAAUUACUGGGUGUAAAGGGAGCGUAGGCGGGCGAGAAAGUUGAAUGUUAAAUCUACCGGCUUAACUGGUAGCUGCGUUCAAAACUUCUUGUCUUGAGUGAAGUAGAGGCAGGCGGAAUUCCUAGUGUAGCGGUGAAAUGCGUAGAUAUUAGGAGGAACACCAGUGGCGAAGGCGGCCUGCUGGGCUUUAACUGACGCUGAGGCUCGAAAGCGUGGGGAGCAAACAGG